AUGGGUGCGUACCAGGGCCAGCUCAGGCGCUGGAUCCGUCUCCUCGCCGCCAGAGGCGUCCAGGAUCUCGUCCUCGUCAACCGCCCGUGGCUCCGCGAGGUGCCCCUCCCCAAGACGCUCUUCACCAUCUCCACCCUCACCCGCCUCUACAUCGGCGUCUGGAAGUUCCCGGAUGCGGGUGGCCUCCAAGGUGCCUCCUUCCCCCACCUCCGGGAGCUCGGCAUCUGCAGCGUCGCCGUGGAGGACGGGGACAUUGACGCCUUCGUCGCCAGGAGCCCCGCCCUGGAGAUCCUCAACAUCCAAGGGAGGAUGAAGGGGGUGCGUCUCCGCCUCGUCAGCCACAGCCUCCGGUGCGUGCAGAUCUGCUCUUUCGUCAUGGAGAGCAUCGAGGUGGUGAACGCCCCGUGUCUCGACCGCCUCAUCCUGUCGGAGUGUCUCGGCCCCGCCGGCGGAUCGUGUACCAGAGUCAGGAUUGGCAACGCCCCCAAGCUGAGAAUAUUCGGGUACCUGGAUCCAGGAAAAUACGUGCUAGAGAUCCGAGACACUGUCAUCACGGCUGGGAUUAAGAUAAGUCCAAGCAUGAUGAUCACAACCGUGAAGGUCCUUAGUUUGAGGGUGCGGUUUGGAGUCUACGAUGAUGUCAAGAUGGUGCCCGCCUUCCUCAGAUUCUUUCCCAAUGUUGAGGCGCUGCAUAUGACGUCUGAAAAAUGUGAUCACCUCGCUGGCACGUUCGACCUCAAGUUCUGGGAAGAGGUCGGUCCCAUCGUGAGUGUGCUCUUGCGCCUCAAGGUGAUCACGUUUCGUGAGUACCAUGCGAGGCAAGAUGAGAUUGCCUUCCUCCAGUACAUCUUCCAGAAUGCAAGGGUGCUCAAAGAUGUAAUGAUGCAGAUGAUCAAUCCAAGAUUCACUUCACUGUCAGCAGAUGAGAUGACCAACACCAUAAACAAUAUGCCUAAUGAGAAAUGGGUCAGUGAAUUUGAUCUUGCUAUCUGUCGGAGCAUUGGUCCAGAAGGAUUGAGUCCUUGGACUUUUGAGCGAGGAGCAAACCUUUGCGACGAUGACCCUAUUGCGCCGGUUAAAUUCAUCACACUACGGGUGUAG
rnacentral:rRNA from 1 species